rnacentral:ncRNA from 2 species
GCCACAUUUGGCAAUGAUGUCUGCCUUGAACCGCCUCAUUUGAGGCUGAUGGCGUCUGUUUCUGA